GAUGAACGCUGGCGGUGUGCCUAAUACAUGCAAGUCGAGCGACCAAACAGUAAGCUCUUUCUUUUACCGUUGGCGACGGACGGGUGAGUAACGGGUGCAUAACCACCUACUAUUACGUGGAUAGCUCCGGAAAGCGACAUUAACUACUGUCGAAUAUAUUCAACGGCUUGUUUCAUUAGUUAAUCUGGGUUUUCCUGAUUCUAUUAGCCGAUUCCCCGCCGCAUUAGCUGGUUGGUAAGGUACCGGCGUACCAAGGCAACGAUGCGUAGCCGACCUGAGAGGGUGAUCAGCCACACUGGAACUGAGACACGGUCCAGACUCCUACGGGAGGCAGCAGUGGGGAAUCUUCCGCAAUGGGCGAAAGCCUGACGCAGCAACACCGCGUGAGUGAUGAAGGUCUUCGGGUUGUAAAACUCUGUUAUUAGGGAAGAAAAAAUGUGGAAGAAAAUACGCACGUCUUGACGGUACCUAAUGAGAAAGCCACGGCUAACUACGUG
rnacentral:rRNA from 1 species